AUUAUUUUUAGUUAUUUAUAAAUAAAGAAUUUUAUUUUAGUACCUUUUGUAUCAGGGUUAGUUAAUUUUUUAGUAUAUGUGUAUUUUUCGAAAUUAAUAGGGUUAAAUAUAUUAAUUUAAAUGUUAAAUAAUUAUGUUUAUGUAUUUAGUAAGUAAAUUUUUUCGGUUUUAAUGAUAACUAGUUAUUAUGGUAUUAAUAAUAUUUAGGAUUAGCUUUUUAUUUUUCUAUAUUUUUUUUAUUUAUUGUAGAUUAGGCUCAAGAUUAGCUAUAUUUAUAGUUUGUUUUAAAUAUUUUAUUUAGUAAUAAGUUAAAUUGGUGUUAACCUAUAAUUAUGGCUAUUUAUUUUUUAUAAUGUAUUAUGAUUAAAUUAGUAGUUUUUUUUACUAUUACAUAUAACUUGUUUUCUAUAAAAUAGUUUAACAAAAACAUUUCUUUUUUUUUAAAAAGUAAUGCCUGCCCAGUGAUUGUUAAACGGCUGCGGUAUUUUGACUGUGCUAAGGUAGCAUAAUAAUUUGUUUUUUAAUUGUAAACUGGUAUGAAAGGGUUUAUUUAUAGUAGUUAUUAAUUUUUAGGAAAAAUAAUUUAUAUUUGUAGUAAAAAUACUUCAAUAUAUCAAAGUGACGAUAAGACCCUGUAAGCUUUAUUUUAUUUUUAUUAAAUAGUAUAAUUAAUUUAUUGUUAAAUUUAUUAAUUUUACUGGGGCAGUAGUAUUAUUUUAAUUAAUACUAUUAGUACACAUUGUUUGUGAAUUUAUUGGCUUUAAUAUAAGAAUGAUAAAGGUUAGUUACUGCAGGGAUAACAGCGCAAUGAGUUUGGAGAGGCCUUAUCGAUGAAAUUGUAUGCGACCUCGAUGUUGAAUUAAGAUUUCUUUUUGUUGCAGCAGGCAAGUAGAAGGUUUGUUCAACCUUUAAAAUUUUACAUGAUUUGAGUUCAAAUCGGUUUGAGCCAGAUUGGUUUCUAUCUUUUAUAGGAGGUAAUUUAUGUAAGUACGAAAGGGACACAUAGAUUUU
rnacentral:rRNA from 1 species